rnacentral:rRNA from 1 species
GCUGGAGGUAUCAGAAGUGCGAAUGCUGACAUAAGUAACGAUAAAGCGGGUGAAAAGCCCGCUCGCCGGAAGACCAAGGGUUCCUGUCCAACGUUAAUCGGGGCAGGGUGAGUCGACCCCUAAGGCGAGGCCGAAAGGCGUAGUCGAUGGGAAACGGGUUAAUAUUCCCGUACUUGGUGUUACUGCGAAGGGGGGACGGAGAAGGCUAUGUUGGCCGGGCGACGGUUGUCCCGGUUUAAGCGUGUAGGUGUGUGUUCCAGGUAAAUCCGGUCCACUUUAACACUGAGGCGUGAUGACGAGGCACUACGGUGCUGAAGCAACAAAUGCCCUGCUUCCAGGAAAAGCCUCUAAGCAUCAGGUAACAUCAAAUCGUACCCCAAACCGACACAGGUGGUCAGGUAGAGAAUACCAAGGCGCUUGAGAGAACUCGGGUGAAGGAACUAGGCAAAAUGGUGCCGUAACUUCGGGAGAAGGCACGCUGACACGUAGGUGAAGUGAUUUACUCACGGAGCUGAAGUCAGUCGAAGAUACCAGCUGGCUGCAACUGUUUAUUAAAAACACAGCACUGUGCAAACACGAAAGUGGACGUAUACGGUGUGACGCCUGCCCGGUGCCGGAAGGUUAAUUGAUGGGGUCAGCGCAAGCGAAGCUCCUGAUCGAAGCCCCGGUAAACGGCGGCCGUAACUAUAACGGUCCUAAGGUAGCGAAAUUCCUUGUCGGGUAAGUUCCGACCUGCACGAAUGGCGUAAUGAUGGCCAGGCUGUCUCCACCCGAGACUCAGUGAAAUUGAACUCGCUGUGAAGAUGCAGUGUACCCGCGGCAAGACGGAAAGACCCCGUGAACCUUUACUAUAGCUUGACACUGAACAUUGAGCCUUGAUGUGUAGGAUAGGUGGGAGGCUUUGAAGCGUGGACGCCAGUCUGCGUGGAGCCGACCUUGAAAUACCACCCUUUAAUGUUUGAUGUUCUAACGUGGACCCGUAAUCCGGGUUGCGGACAGUGUCUGGUGGGUAGUUUGACUGGGGCGGUCUCCUCCUAAAGAGUAACGGAGGAGCACGAAGGUUGGCUAAUCCUGGUCGGACAUCAGGAGGUUAGUGCAAUGGCAUAAGCCAGCUUGACUGCGAGCGUGACGGCGCGAGCAGGUGCGAAAGCAGGUCAUAGUGAUCCGGUGGUUCUGAAUGGAAGGGCCAUCGCUCAACGGAUAAAAGGUACUCCGGGGAUAACAGGCUGAUACCGCCCAAGAGUUCAUAUCGACGGCGGUGUUUGGCACCUCGAUGUCGGCUCAUCACAUCCUGGGGCUGAAGUAGGUCCCAAGGGUAUGGCUGUUCGCCAUUUAAAGUGGUACGCGAGCUGGGUUUAGAACGUCGUGAGACAGUUCGGUCCCUAUCUGCCGUGGGCGCUGGAGAACUGAGGGGGGCUGCUCCUAGUACGAGAGGACCGGAGUGGACGCAUCACUGGUGUUCGGGUUGUCAUGCCAAUGGCACUGCCCGGUAGCUAAAUGCGGAAGAGAUAAGUGCUGAAAGCAUCUAAGCACGAAACUUGCCCCGAGAUGAGUUCUCCCUGAGACUUAGAGUCUCCUGAAGGAACGUUGAAGACGACGACGUUGAUAGGCCGGGUGUGUAAGCGCAGCGAUGCGUUGAGCUAACCGGUACUAAUGAACCGUGAGGCUUAACCUU